CAGCCGCCGCGGUAAUACGUAGGGGGCGAGCGUUACCCGGAUUCACUGGGCGUAAAGGGGGUGUAGGCGGCUCGGUAAGUCGGGUGUGAAAUCCCACGGCUCAACCGUGGAAUUGCGCCCGAAACUGCCGAGCUUGGGGCCGGUAGAGGGAGACGGAACUGCCGGUGUAGGGGUGAAAUCCGUAGAUAUCGGCAGGAACGCCGGUGGGGAAGCCGGCCUCCUGGGCCGCGCCCGACGCUGAGGCCCGAAAGCUAGGGGAGCAAACCGGAUUAGAUACCCGGGUAGUCCUAGCCGUAAACGAUGCCCACUAGGUGUGGGGGAGUAUUUCCUCCGUGCUGUAGCUAACGCGUUAAGUGGACCGCCUGGGGAGUACGCCCGCAAGGGUGAAACUUAAAGGAAUUGGCGGG
rnacentral:rRNA from 1 species